AUGGAAUUUGUGCUCUGCUGGGUUUUCCUUCUUGCUCUUUUAAAAGGUGUCCAGUAUGAGAUGCAGCUGGUGGAGUCUGGGGGAGACCUGGUGAAGUCUGGGGUGUCCCUGAGACUCUCUUGUGCAGCCUCUGGAUUCACCUUCAGUAGCUACAGCAUGAACAGCUUCCACCAAGUUCCACAGAAGGGCCUGCAGUGGGUCGCAUGGAUUAGAUAUGAUGGAAGUAGCACAAGCUACACAGACUCUGUGAAGUGUCGAUUCACUAUCUCCAGAGACAACAUCUAG